CAGGGGGUAGCUUACACAACCAAAGUGCCCAGCUUACACUUGGGAGAUGUUAUCAUAACCCCCCUGAG
rnacentral:tRNA from 1 species